GUUCUUAUAGUUGAAUACAACAGUAGUUUUUCAGGCUACAGGUCCGGGUUAAAGUCCUGGUAGGAAUA
rnacentral:tRNA from 1 species